rnacentral:rRNA from 1 species
AGCGAACGCUGGCGGCAGGCCUAACACAUGCAAGUCGAACGAAGUCUUCGGACUUAGUGGCGGACGGGUGAGUAACACGUGGGAACGUACCUUUUGGUUCGGAACAACUCAGGGAAACUUGAGCUAAUACCGGAUGAGCCCUUAGGGGGAAAGAUUUAUCGCCGAAAGAGCGGCCCGCGUUAGAUUAGCUAGUUGGUGAGGUAAAGGCUCACCAAGGCUACGAUAUAUAGCUGGUCUGAGAGGAUGAUCAGCCACACUGGGACUGAGACACGGCCCAGACUCCUACGGGAGGCAGCAGUGGGGAAUCUUGCGCAAUGGGCGAAAGCCUGACGCAGCCAUGCCGCGUGAAUGAUGAAGGUCUUAGGAUUGUAAAAUUCUUUUACCAGGGACGAUAAUGACGGUACCUGGAGAAAAAGCCCCGGCUAACUUCGUGCCAGCCGCCGCCGCAGUAA